CUAUGCAGGUUGUGAUAUGAUAAAGAGUCAUGGAUAUUUGACAUGCUUUUAAAGUAUGUUCACGGAUGAAGAACUUGUCGCCCCAACAGAACCAUACGCGUGGGAGGGGUUCAUUGUCAAAUUUGACACUUCAAGGAAGGGUUGAUGAAAAGUGCCGCGUGCUGGUUUAUCUAUCCAUGUUGGCUUUAGAUUUACUGUUUAGCGUAUCUUUGCUUUAAUGUGUUACGUUUAAUUUGAUCGGGAGACGUGUUCGUCAACGUCAACCGACAACACUGCAAGAAUCGGCCGUGGUACUGCAAGAGGAGUGGGUCAGAUUGCCCCAAAUCGUGAUUGGACGGUUGAUUAGAAGCAUGCCACAACGAAUUGCUGAAUGUCUGAGGAUUGGUGGAGCAAUUACUCUUUGCGAGUGAAAUGGGGCCGUCAGAUAAGCCGCCUAUAUGAACUAUUUAUGUUCCUGUGUAGGCAAUUGGCCUGUUAUUAACAUACACUGGUUACCUCUAAUUAAAACAGCAGUGCAUUUCCGCAGUUUUGUAUUGUUUUUGAAUAUCCCCUACUUUUUUUUUGAAGAGUAUAUAUACCAAGAAUUAAAUCAGUUACGCAUAUUUAUAGUCACUAAAUAAUCGGUCAUAUUGUACUUAAUAACCUAUGACCACCAUCUAUAAAUAUUAGACUGAAAAUGGUUACGAGUGUCGGGCCAUAACAUCCGGGCACUUUUGAAUAAAAAAUAAAUUACGUGCCGUUGUUUUGAAAUUAGUCUCGCUUUAACUACUUGUAGUCUGAUUGACGGGCCACGAUAAUCACUACUUUUUUUACCAAACAUAACAGAAAGCUGGAACAAGAAAUUGAAUUUAGAAACACGCGCGUUAGGCAACUCAACAUUUGUUUUAAGAACCUUGUAAAAGUAAAAUGAAACUACUGCUAGUUUCAUGUUCUUGCCUAACCCGAGUGUUUCAGAGAUAUUAUUUGUACUAAACCAAAAGAUGCCGCUCCUAGCGGUAUAGUUAAUGAUAAAGCAAUUUAAAAAAUUAUUUCUAAAGCUGCUGUAAUAACCAAAACGCUAAAUAUUACUGCUAUUCAGAAUCGUCAACAAUAGAUUUGUUUACGACUGUAAUAGUUGAUAGCUGUGUAGAGAAUUUCACGUGCGAAGGCUUCAUAGACUCUUAUGCUGAGUGUUAUUGCACUGCGUUAUUAGCCAGAAAUCACUUCGAGACAAGCCACUGAAGCGUGCACAUUCGCCGUGUCGAGUUCAUCUUUUCUGUAGGGGACAUUUUUCGCUGCAUGGGACACCCUACCUAUGUAUGUUUCAUACUGGUGUUUAAAGCAUUCUACAUUGAAUGAUGAAUGAAGCCAUGGAGCGUGACUGUCUUUUUACACCCAAGUUAGCAAUCUAUAUCUAUUUUGGGAUGUAUGAUUCGCCCCGUUAAUAAUAAAAGUAUCGAACAUGACGACGUAUAUACUAAUGUUUGCCAUGCACCAUGAUGGUCAUUGUUCUGCAGUAAAAUGCGCGUAUGCUAUCUGGAUCGGAUGUAGGAGUUUGGAGACCGUAUUAUGGUUUUAAGUAUACGACAAGAUUGUGAUCUGAUUCGGUGAAUAUCUAUUCCAGAGUAAUGAAGUGAAUUGAAUAUAUCAACAUGGAAUAUCAACUACCGAUACCAAUACAUGUAUUAUGGCUUAUCAUAUUAACCACUAUAAUAUCAAUGUUAGGGUUGUUGGCUCUUAUCAGUGUUUUAUAUUUUCUAUUAAACAAACAUAUCUUAAAAGAUAACAGAUUGUUUGGUAGUAAAACUAGGGUCUGGCCUGUCUACACAGAAGGACAUUUAGUAUAAAAAUAAAGCGUCACAUAUAGAUAUUAUGAAACCAACGAAACCUGUAGCCCCGGUUUCCCAGGCGGCCAUUAGGCAAUUUAAUGUUAACAAAUAUAUGGACUUAAAAGUGUUCUUUAGACAGUAAUCGAAAUGAUUUUAUUAAAACGUAAAAAGAUGGGUUAGGUGCCAUAUUGAGCUCAAUGUAUCUGGAUGGAAAAGAAAUACCGUUCAAGCAUCAGCUAAUGAUUUUAGAGAAGGAUAGGACGGCGGUGUGAAACCAACUGGAACAAGUCAGAAAUUCCGUUGUGCUUGAUCAACUUGAAUGGUUUUAGGAUUAUGCAUUUUAGUAAGACUGUAUUAUAUUGUGUAUGAUCUGAGAGUCUGGAAUAUUGUACCUACCCCAGUACACUAUGUCACAGUUAUGUUCGUGUUAGUUAUGUUAUUCUAAGUUAUAUCAUCCGUGUUGAUCAUUGAUGUUGUGGUUCUCAGUUCGGCACUCGAUUCACCGUUUUCGGUUGGCCAUGACCCUUUUAGAAUGCAAAAUUCCAACCCGUGAAAUGUGAUAACGACUGGAACACAACACACUGAUCAGAAAAUUAAAUUCGGGAGAUUGCAUUAUUUAAAUAAUUGUUUUAUUUUAUUAAAUUUAUCUAUAUUUAUAUUGUAUAUAAUAAAUAUGAUUUUAAUGAU